GACAGAGGUGCCGAGCGUUAGGCGGAAUCACUGGGCUUAAAGCGUGUGUAGGCGGACUUCUAAGUACCUUGUGAAAUCCCACGGCUCAACCGUGGAACUGCUUGGUAUACUGGUCGUCUUGAGCCAUCUAGGGGCUGUCGGAACAAAUGGUGGAGCGGUGAAAUGCGUAGAUAUCAUUUGGAACGCCAAUGGUGAAAACAGGUAGCUGGGGCUGUGCUGACACUGAGACACGAAAGCCAGGGGAGCGAACGGG
rnacentral:rRNA from 1 species